rnacentral:rRNA from 1 species
GUCUACAGCUAUGCCACCCUGAACAAACCCGAUGUCUGAUCUCAGAAGCUAAGCAGAGUCGGGCCUGGUUAGUACUUGGAUGGGAGACCACCUAGGAAGACCAGGUGCUGUAGGCA